rnacentral:rRNA from 1 species
AUUGAACGCUGGCGGCAUGCCUUACACAUGCAAGUCGAACGUGAAAGCGGGGCAACCCGCAAGUAGAGUGGCGGACGGGUGAGUAAUACGUCGGAACGUGUCCAGUAAUGGGGGAGUAACCUAGCGAAAGUUAAGGCUAAUACCGCAUACGAUCUGCGGAUGAAAGACGGGGGAGUGCGGCACUAAAGGACUUUUGGUCGAAGGUGGCCGAAAGGUAGAGUCAAGAGCUUUUAGUUGCUGCACCUCCGCGUUAUUGGAGCGGCUGAUGUCUGAUUA